rnacentral:antisense_RNA from 1 species
UGGGCAAGUUAGUUGCUCCAAAUACAAGAUAAAGUGAUUGAGUUCUUUUCUCAAGCGGGAGUCGGAGUUUAUCCACUCUUAGGGUCAUCCAACUAAAAAAAAUAUAUAUCUUGAAGAUUUGCAUUGAUAUGCAAUAUCGACAUGUCCAAGGCCUCCUUCCAGACCACUAGAUUCUAGUAAUUUGAAGCGGCUUCUCCUCUCCCUCAAAGCAGCUCUGCUUAGUACAGUGCUUGGCACAAAGCAAACAUUCAAUAGAUGUUAGCCAACAUUAGCUGCUCAUCUGCUUUCCUUAAAAGCCAAGUCAUUUCAACAAACCACCCCUGAGGCCCCAAGACACAGAAGAACAGCAUCCAGUCCAAGCCCUCUGGUACAGAGCCCCAGCAGCUACUAUUAAUGAGUGUCUGGAAUAUGUUCCUGGCAUUUCACCUACACUCUCUCCAAUCCUUCCAAGAAACUCACAAAGCAGGGCUUUUUCUUGAACUUCUCUUCCUCACAACAGUUAAAUCAUCCAUUUAAAGAUGUCAGACAAGCUCUGUGUUCUAAGAACUGUUUACUGAGCUCUAUGGAGACAUAGCUACAAGCACCACAUGCUGGACCCCUGAAUAUGGAGGGCCAACUACACUAGAAACACACAUGCUAGCUGGGAAAGAUGCUG